rnacentral:pre_miRNA from 1 species
AUGCUACUACCUCUGUUGCAUAAUUCUUGUCGAAAUCUUACAUGUAUCUAGAUACCUUUUAGGAAUAGAUACAUCCAUUUUUGGACAAAUUUGAGACAAGAAUUAUGGAACGGAGGGAGUAUAUU